rnacentral:rRNA from 1 species
UACGGAGGGUGCAAGCGUUAUCCGGAUUCACUGGGUUUAAAGGGAGCGUAGGUGGGCUGGUAAGUCAGUGGUGAAAUCUCCGGGCUUAACUCGGAAACUGCCGUUGAUACUAUCAGUCUUGAAUAUUGUGGAGGUAAGCGGAAUAUGUCAUGUAGCGGUGAAAUGCUUAGAUAUGACAUAGAACACCGAUUGCGAAGGCAGCUGACGAAACUAUAACUGACACUGAGGCUCGAAAAGUGCGGGGAUCAAACAGG